rnacentral:rRNA from 1 species
AUUGAACGCUGGCGGCAGGCCUAACACAUGCAAGUCGAGCGAGCGGCGGACGGGUGAGUAAUGUCUGGGACACUGCCUGAUGGAGGGGGAUAACUACUGGAACCGGUAGCUAAUACCGCAUCCCAUCAGAUGUGCCCAGAUGGGAUUAGCUAGUAGGUGGGGUAACGGCUAAGCUAGGCGACGAGCCCUAGCUGGUCUGAGAGGAUGACAAGCCACACUGGAACUGAGACACGGUCCAGACUCCUACGGGAGGGAGCAGUGGGGAAUAUUGCACAAUGGGCGCAAGCCUGAUGCAGCCAUGCCGCGUGUAUGAAGAAGGCCUUGGGGUUGUAAAGUACUUUCAGCGGGGAGGCGUUACCCGCAGAAGAAGCACCGGCUAACUCCGUGCCAGCAGCCGCGGUAAUAC